GGUUAAGCGACUAAGCGUACACGGUGGAUGCCCUGGCAGUCAGAGGCGAUGAAGGACGUGCUAAUCUGCGAUAAGCGUCGGUGAGGUGAUAUGAACCGUUAUAACCGGCGAUUUCCGAAUGGGGAAACCCAGUGUGUUUCGACACACUAUCAUUAACUGAAUCCAUAGGUUAAUGAGGCGAACCGGGGGAACUGAAACAUCUAAGUACCCCGAGGAAAAGAAAUCAACCGAGAUUCCCCCAGUAGCGGCGAGCGAACGGGGAGGAGCCCAGAGCCUGAAUCAGUGUGUGUGUUAGUGGAAGCGUCUGGAAAGGCGCGCGAUACAGGGUGACAGCCCCGUACACAAAAAUGCACAUAUUGUGAGCUCGAUGAGUAGGGCGGGACACGUGGUAUCCUGUCUGAAUAUGGGGGGACCAUCCUCCAAGGCUAAAUACUCCUGACUGACCGAUAGUGAACCAGUACCGUGAGGGAAAGGCGAAAAGAACCCCGGCGAGGGGAGUGAAAAAGAACCUGAAACCGUGUACGUACAAGCAGUGGGAGCCUCUUUAUGGGGUGACUGCGUACCUUUUGUAUAAUGGGUCAGCGACUUAUAUUCUGUAGCAAGGUUAACCGAAUAGGGGAGCCGAAGGGAAACCGAGUCUUAACUGGGCGUUAAGUUGCAGGGUAUAGACCCGAAACCCGGUGAUCUAGCCAUGGGCAGGUUGAAGGUUGGGUAACACUAACUGGAGGACCGAACCGACUAAUGUUGAAAAAUUAGCGGAUGACUUGUGGCUGGGGGUGAAAGGCCAAUCAAACCGGGAGAUAGCUGGUUCUCCCCGAAAGCUAUUUAGGUAGCGCCUCGUGAAUUCAUCUCCGGGGGUAGAGCACUGUUUCGGCAAGGGGGUCAUCCCGACUUACCAACCCGAUGCAAACUGCGAAUACCGGAGAAUGUUAUCACGGGAGACACACGGCGGGUGCUAACGUCCGUCGUGAAGAGGGAAACAACCCAGACCGCCAGCUAAGGUCCCAAAGUCAUGGUUAAGUGGGAAACGAUGUGGGAAGGCCCAGACAGCCAGGAUGUUGGCUUAGAAGCAGCCAUCAUUUAAAGAAAGCGUAAUAGCUCACUGGUCGAGUCGGCCUGCGCGGAAGAUGUAACGGGGCUAAACCAUGCACCGAAGCUGCGGCAGCGACACUAUGUGUUGUUGGGUAGGGGAGCGUUCUGUAAGCCUGUGAAGGUGGCCUGUGAGGGUUGCUGGAGGUAUCAGAAGUGCGAAUGCUGACAUAAGUAACGAUAAAGCGGGUGAAAAGCCCGCUCGCCGGAAGACCAAGGGUUCCUGUCCAACGUUAAUCGGGGCAGGGUGAGUCGACCCCUAAGGCGAGGCCGAAAGGCGUAGUCGAUGGGAAACAGGUUAAUAUUCCUGUACUUGGUGUUACUGCGAAGGGGGGACGGAGAAGGCUAUGUUGGCCGGGCGACGGUUGUCCCGGUUUAAGCGUGUAGGCUGGUUUUCCAGGCAAAUCCGGAAAACCAAGGCUGAGGCGUGAUGACGAGGCACUACGGUGCUGAAGCGACAAAUGCCCUGCUUCCAGGAAAAGCCUCUAAGCAUCAGGUAACAUCAAAUCGUACCCCAAACCGACACAGGUGGUCAGGUAGAGAAUACCAAGGCGCUUGAGAGAACUCGGGUGAAGGAACUAGGCAAAAUGGUGCCGUAACUUCGGGAGAAGGCACGCUGAUAUGUAGGUGAAGCGACUUGCUCGUGGAGCUGAAAUCAGUCGAAGAUACCAGCUGGCUGCAACUGUUUAUUAAAAACACAGCACUGUGCAAACACGAAAGUGGACGUAUACGGUGUGACGCCUGCCCGGUGCCGGAAGGUUAAUUGAUGGGGUUAGCGGUAACGCGAAGCUCUUGAUCGAAGCCCCGGUAAACGGCGGCCGUAACUAUAACGGUCCUAAGGUAGCGAAAUUCCUUGUCGGGUAAGUUCCGACCUGCACGAAUGGCGUAAUGAUGGCUAGGCUGUCUCCACCCGAGACUCAGUGAAAUUGAACUCGCUGUGAAGAUGCAGUGUACCCGCGGCAAGACGGAAAGACCCCGUGAACCUUUACUAUAGCUUGACACUGAACAUUGAGCCUUGAUGUGUAGGAUAGGUGGGAGGCUUUGAAGUGUGGACGCCAGUCUGCAUGGAGCCGACCUUGAAAUACCACCCUUUAAUGUUUGAUGUUCUAACGUUGGCCCGUAAUCCGGGUUGCGGACAGUGUCUGGUGGGUAGUUUGACUGGGGCGGUCUCCUCCUAAAGAGUAACGGAGGAGCACGAAGGUUGGCUAAUCCUGGUCGGACAUCAGGAGGUUAGUGCAAUGGCAUAAGCCAGCUUGACUGCGAGCGUGACGGCGCGAGCAGGUGCGAAAGCAGGUCAUAGUGAUCCGGUGGUUCUGAAUGGAAGGGCCAUCGCUCAACGGAUAAAAGGUACUCCGGGGAUAACAGGCUGAUACCGCCCAAGAGUUCAUAUCGACGGCGGUGUUUGGCACCUCGAUGUCGGCUCAUCACAUCCUGGGGCUGAAGUAGGUCCCAAGGGUAUGGCUGUUCGCCAUUUAAAGUGGUACGCGAGCUGGGUUUAGAACGUCGUGAGACAGUUCGGUCCCUAUCUGCCGUGGGCGCUGGAGAACUGAGGGGGGCUGCUCCUAGUACGAGAGGACCGGAGUGGACGCAUCACUGGUGUUCGGGUUGUCAUGCCAAUGGCACUGCCCGGUAGCUAAAUGCGGAAGAGAUAAGUGCUGAAAGCAUCUAAGCACGAAACUUGCCCCGAGAUGAGUUCUCCCUGAGACUUAGAGUCUCCUGAAGGAACGUUGAAGACGACGACGUUGAUAGGCCGGGUGUGUAAGCGCAGCGAUGCGUUGAGCUAACCGGUACUAAUGAACCGUGAGGCUUAACCUU
rnacentral:rRNA from 1 species